rnacentral:rRNA from 1 species
GAGACAGCAGUCGCCGCGGUAAUACGGAGGGUGCAAGCGUUAAUCGGAAUUACUGGGCGUAAAGCGCACGCAGGCGGUCUGUCAAGUCGGAUGUGAAAUCCCCGGGCUCAACCUGGGAACUGCAUUCGAAACUGGCAGGCUAGAGUCUUGUAGAGGGGGGUAGAAUUCCAGGUGUAGCGGUGAAAUGCGUAGAGAUCUGGAGGAAUACCGGUGGCGAAGGCGGCCCCCUGGACAAAGACUGACGCUCAGGUGCGAAAGCGUGGGGAGCAAACAGGAUUAGAUACCCCUGUAGUCCCUGUCUCUUAUAC